ACUGUAAAAUUUUUCCAGGAUUUCACAAGAUAUAACUGUAAUAUUUCACAGUUAAUUACAUUAUUACCACUUCACAGGCUUUAACUGUGAUAAUUCACAAUAUAAUACCGUAUUUAGACUUUUACUGUGAAAAUAAUGCAGGCGCGGGGCUUUUACAAGAAACUACUGUGAAUGCCGUCUUUUUUGAGUGGCAACUGCGGCAGCGUCAUCAGAGCGUCAUCAGAGCUCUCUGAUCUACGUGGUCUCAUUCGGUGGAUUCAGACAGCGCAUUUUCUACAUUGACCGACGAUAAAUAAAGUUAUAAGGUGCUUCUUGGGCAUCAACCCAGAGCGAGGCACAAAAUCUAAGAGGCAGAGAGGUCACAUGAACCAGCAAGUCUGCACUCUUAUCAGGAAGCUCAUUGACUUCGAAUGGAUGUCAAUCUAAUUGGAUAGAACCCACACUAUGCAGGUGCCAGCUGCGAGGGAAGGAGCGAGAUACCUGCGACCCUCUCUAUUCCCACCUUUUUGUCUUUUCUUACAUCUCUCUCCCUCACUCUCUCUUCUCUGUCUCCUUCUUUCUCUUUUGACACACAUUCCUGUUACCCAGUGUCAAUCCCUGUUGCCCAGUGUUUUAUUCAUGUAAUUAAAUUGUAUUUUACUUCUAAAAAAUAAAAGUUAUGUCACUGUUUU